UACGUAGGGUGCAAGCGUUAAUCGGAAUUACUGGGCGUAAAGCGUGCGCAGGCGGUUUUGUAAGUCUGUCGUGAAAUCCCCCGGGCUCAACCUGGGAAUUGCGAUGGAGACUGCAAGGCUAGAAUCUGGCAGAGGGGGGUAGAAUUCCACGUGUAGCAGUGAAAUGCGUAGAGAUGUGGAGGAACACCGAUGGCGAAGGCAGCCCCCUGGGUCAAGAUUGACGCUCAUGCACGAAAGCGUGGGGAGCAAACAGGG
rnacentral:rRNA from 1 species